UGUAUGAUACUUAUAUGAGCGUAUAACUUUUAUAAUAUCAUAUUUAUACCUUCAUAUCAAUUUAAACGUAUAUGAACCAUUUUGGAUGUAGCCCAUCAAAAUAACUCAACGUCUUCCACGCGAGCGACAUGAAUCGAGCGCACCCAGUUUGCUGGCGCGAUGUUUUGACUUUUGAGCAGUGAUGUUUGAUAGAUACGUAUUCGAGAAACUGUUGCCCAAUAACUCUGAUAGAUAAGUAUUCGGCAAACUAUUGACCAAUAACUCUGUGUAGGUGUGAGCUCCCUCCAUGUGGAUGACGUUGUGGGCUGUGGAACAGAUCAGAUACAGCUGGUCUUUGGAAGCCAGAGCCCUCCUGUGGGCCCAGUGGAUCAAUACCUCAUCACAGAUCUCUGUGGGACAACCUAUUCUGAGAGACGCUGUACUAUUUUGCUGUUCUUUACCAGUCUUAUAACACCCUACUUAUAACCCAGUUCUGAUGUGUGAAGAUUGUUGUAUGUUUCAGCAUGGACAGGAGAGCAGUGAAGGACGGAACACAUCUGACACAGCUCAGGAGAACUACCUCCUAACUGUCAAAAUUCUACAGGCCAGACUACAGAGUGUCCUGACCUUGCUCCAGGUUCUUCAGAGAGAUGUACGGGUGAAGGAGAGGGUUCUACGCCAGUCAGUCCAAGCCCUUACAGAAGAGGUCUCAGGAAGAGAACACAUUCUCACCCAGACA